AGUGAACGCUGGCGGUAGGCCUAACACAUGCAAGUCGAACGGCAGCACAGUAAGAGCUUGCUCUUACGGGUGGCGAGUGGCGGACGGGUGAGGAAUACAUCGGAAUCUACUUUUUCGUGGGGGAUAACGUAGGGAAACUUACGCUAAUACCGCAUACGACCUACGGGUGAAAGCAGGGGAUCUUCGGACCUUGCGCGAUUGAAUGAGCCGGUGUCGGAUUAGCUAGUUGGCGGGGUAAAGGCCCACCAAGGCGUCGAUCGGUAGCUGGCCUGAGAGGAUGAACGGGCACAUUGGGACUGAGAUACGGCCCAGACUCAUACGGGAGGCAGAAGUGGGGAAUAUUGUACAAUGGGCGGACGCCUGAUGAAGCAACGCCGCGUGCGGGAUGACGGCCUUCGGGUUGUAAACCGCUUUCGCCUGUGACGAAGCGUGAGUGACGGUAAUGGGUAAAGAAGCACCGGCUAACUACGUG
rnacentral:rRNA from 1 species